CACACGCAACGAGUCUUCCUUGUCCGAAAGGUCUGGGUAAUCUUGUAAAUGUGUGUCGUGAUAGGGAUAGAUUAUUGCAAUUAUUAAUCUUGAACGAGGAAUUCCUAGUAAAUGCGGGUCAUCAGCUCGCGUUGAUUACGUCCCUGCCCUUUGUACACACCGCCCGUCGCACCUACCGAUUGAAUGAUUCGGUGAAACUUUCGGACCGUGGUGGAGAUACCUCUGGUAACUCCGUCAUGGGAAGUUAUUUAAACCUCAUCAUUUAGAGGAAGGUGAAGUCGUAACAAGGUUUCCGUAGGUGAACCUGCGGAAGGAUCA
rnacentral:rRNA from 1 species